UACGGAGGAUCCAAGCGUUAUCCGGAUUUAUUGGGUUUAAAGGGUGCGUAGGUGGGAUAAUAAGUCAGAGGUGAAAGCUAGCAGCUUAACUGUUAAAUUGCCUUUGAUACUGUUAUUCUUGAGUAUAGUUGGCGUUGGCGGAAUGUGACAUGUAGCGGUGAAAUGCGUAGAUAUGUCACAGAACACCGAUCGCGAAGGCAGCUAACGAAACUAUCACUGACACUGAUGCACGAAAGCUAGGGGAGCGAAUGGG
rnacentral:rRNA from 1 species